AGAGUUUGAUCCUGGCUCAGGACGAACGCUGGCGGCGCGCCUAACACAUGCAAGUCGAACGAGAGAUGAGGAGCUUGCUCUUCAAAUCGAGUGGCGAACGGGUGAGUAACGCGUGAGGAACCUGCCUCAAAGAGGGGGACAACAGUUGGAAACGACUGCUAAUACCGCAUAAGCCCACGGCUCGGCAUCGAGCAGAGGGAAAAGGAGCAAUCCGCUUUGAGAUGGCCUCGCGUCCGAUUAGCUAGUUGGUGAGGUAACGGCCCACCAAGGCGACGAUCGGUAGCCGGACUGAGAGGUUGAACGGCCACAUUGGGACUGAGACACGGCCCAGACUCCUACGGGAGGCAGCAGUGGGGAAUAUUGCACAAUGGGGGAAACCCUGAUGCAGCGACGCCGCGUGGAGGAAGAAGGUCUUCGGAUUGUAAACUCCUGUUGUUGAGGAAGAUAAUGACGGUACUCAACAAGGAAGUGACGGCUAACUACGUGCCAGCAGCCGCGGUAAAACGUAGGUCACAAGCGUUGUCCGGAAUUACUGGGUGUAAAGGGAGCGCAGGCGGGAAGACAAGUUGGAAGUGAAAUCUAUGGGCUCAACCCAUAAACUGCUUUCAAAACUGUUUUUCUUGAGUAGUGCAGAGGUAGGCGGAAUUCCCGGUGUAGCGGUGGAAUGCGUAGAUAUCGGGAGGAACACCAGUGGCGAAGGCGGCCUACUGGGCACCAACUGACGCUGAGGCUCGAAAGUGUGGGUAGCAAACAGGAUUAGAUACCCUGGUAGUCCACACCGUAAACGAUGAUUACUAGGUGUUGGAGGAUUGACCCCUUCAGUGCCGCAGUUAACACAAUAAGUAAUCCACCUGGGGAGUACGACCGCAAGGUUGAAACUCAAAGGAAUUGACGGGGGCCCGCACAAGCAGUGGAGUAUGUGGUUUAAUUCGACGCAACGCGAAGAACCUUACCAAGUCUUGACAUCCCUUGACGAUGCUGGAAACAGUAUUUCUCUUCGGAGCAAGGAGACAGGUGGUGCAUGGUUGUCGUCAGCUCGUGUCGUGAGAUGUUGGGUUAAGUC
rnacentral:rRNA from 1 species